AUUCAGCUGACGAGUUUCAAAUAGGAUGAAACGCGCGUCCUGGAU
rnacentral:hammerhead_ribozyme from 1 species